rnacentral:rRNA from 1 species
GUGGGGAAUUUUGGACAAUGGGCGCAAGCCUGAUCCAGCAAUGCCGCGUGCAGGAAGAAGGCCUUCGGGUUGUAAACUGCUUUUGUACGGAACGAAACGGUCCUGGUUAAUACCUGGGGCUCAUGACGGUACCGUAAGAAUAAGCACCGGCUAACUACGUGCCAGCAGCCGCGGUAAUACGUAGGGUGCAAGCGUUAAUCGGAAUUACUGGGCGUAAAGCGUGCGCAGGCGGUUUUGUAAGACAGACGUGAAAUCCCCGGGCUCAACCUGGGAAUGGCGUUUGUGACUGCAAAGCUGGAGUGCGGCAGAGGGGGAUGGAAUUCCGCGUGUAGCAGUGAAAUGCGUAGAUAUGCGGAGGAACACCGAUGGCGAAGGCAAUCCCCUGGGCCUGCACUGACGCUCAUGCACGAAAGCGUGGGGAGCAAACAGGAUUAGAUACCCCGGUAGUCC